GUCUCGGCAGCGGUGGCCGUAGCUCCAUCGCAUUUUAUGUUUCUGGCGAGAAGGGAACGGAGUUUUCAUCAGGUAGAUUGGUUUUUGUGCGGCCGUCCUCCACCGUUUCCUCCAGGACAGCACCUAGUCGUGGCCGGAGGAGUCUCAGAGCUGUCAGAAAGGUGAGCAUUUGUACAGUGAAACAUUUUGCUACACAAAAGUGAUGUUUAGGAAUACUAACAAAUUAUUUUCAAGAAUAAGACUGAUUUUAUGGGAAAAUUAAGCAGAUGCUCCAGUUUGAGAAACCUGGAUCUGCGAUCUGUUUGUGAGGUGAAGAAGAAAGAAAAUGAAACAUACUCAAGAUUUAAGAAAGAGGGAACGAGCAGUACCAUUCACUGAUUUGGCAAGUCAAGAAAAGCCACUGAGUGGUAUUCAGUUAAGAGAACAAU
rnacentral:lncRNA from 10 species